UAGAUAACAUGGGAGCAUAAUGAUAAAAGGCUAAAGGAUAUAUGCAAGCUGUAAAGAAAAGGUUUUGACCUAAAAAAGGCAAAAAGGAGCAAAACUUGUUCUUCAAAUAGAGGAGGAGGGGCUUAAGCUUUAACAUACUGAAAUACAUGAGAGAGUCCUGGAGAGUUAAAAUCCCGAUUUCUUCAUUGACUUCAUUUCCUGAUCCAAACACACUAACACUGAUCAUAAGUAACUCUAGCGCAUCUUUCGAAUUCAUUUGACUUGUGUUGGUAGCGUUGUGAGCCAAUAUGUGUUUUCUGUUUGGUUCAUUGAUUCAUUUUGGAGUUUGAACUUGUUGUUUUAAGUUUUGGUUUCUGCUAUUUUUUUAGGUCGUUUGAAUCCUUCCUGGGGUUUAAGAAUAGUGGUGUUUUGUUGGUUGUUGCUAUGUUGUUGUUACUAAUGCUGCUGAUUCUCAUCUUCCUCUUCUCUUGUCUCCAAUACCAAGUACACAACUGAGCUCAAUUUGAUGUAUCCUUGAGAUGUAAACAUGAAAUGAAAAUGCUCAGGAACUUAAUUAUUGGAUGUUGUUUAAUCGUUGAAUUUUAGAUUUGUAUUUAUAUUAAUACUAUUUUGAUUUGGCAUGAUAAAUGGAAGCUUUGUUUGGAAGUUUCUAAUAAAUUGUGAAGGGAUUAGCUAGAAUCUAUGUGAUCCUUAUUUGAUAUCUUGGAUUAGCAUGUUAAAAUAUUAAUUUUAAAGUGGGGACAGUACUUUGC
rnacentral:lncRNA from 1 species